rnacentral:tRNA from 1 species
GCCGAAGUGGCGGAAUUGGUAUACGCGCAAGACUUAAAAUCUUGUGUCCGUUUGGACAUGUGGGUCCGACUCCCACCUUCGGCA